AGGAGUAUGUGGGACACGUGCCCC
rnacentral:siRNA from 1 species